UACAGGGGGUGCAAACGUUGCUCGGAAUCAUUGGGCGUAAAGCGCACGUAGGCGGUCUGUUAUGUCGGAUGUGAAAGCCCUUGGCUUAACUGAGGAAGUGCAUCCGAAACUGGCAGGCUAGAGUACUAAAGAGGGUCGCGGAAUUCCCGGUGUAGAGGUGAAAUUCGUAGAUAUCGGGAGGAACACCGGCGGCGAAGGCGGCGACCUGGGUCGAGACUGACGCUGAGGCGCGAAAGCGUGGGGAGCAAACAGG
rnacentral:rRNA from 1 species